GAUGAACGCUGGCGGCGUGCCUAAUACAUGCAAGUCGAGCGAACGGACGAGAAGCUUGCUUCUCUGAUGUUAGCGGCGGACGGGUGAGUAACACGUGGAUAACCUACCUAUAAGACUGGGAUAACUUCGGGAAACCGGAGCUAAUACCGGAUAAUAUUUUGAACCGCAUGGUUCAAAAGUGAAAGACGGUCUUGUUGUCACUUAUAGAUGGAUCCGCGCUGCAUUAGCUAGUUGGUAAGGUAACGGCUUACCAAGGCAACGAUGCAUAGCCGACCUGAGAGGGUGAUCGGCCACACUGGAACUGAGACACGGUCCAGACUCCUACGGGAGGCAGCAGUAGGGAAUCUUCCGCAAUGGGCGAAAGCCUGACGGAGCAACGCCGCGUGAGUGAUGAAGGUCUUCGGAUCGUAAAACUCUGUUAUUAGGGAAGAACAUAUGUGUAAGUAACUGUGCACAUCUUGACGGUACCUAAUCAGAAAGCCACGGCUAACUACGU
rnacentral:rRNA from 1 species